AGUUAAUAUCCAGCUCAAUAGAUUGUCACCAACCAUGUGCCUAGAGCUAACUGUGUUAAGAAGAGCAUGCUUCAAGUGGCUGGAGUGAGCAAUUCAACUUGUGGAGGAAUGAGAAGUGACAGUGUUGAGACAAGCAACAUAAAACCCCAGGGAUGGCUGUGGGGAUCAAGGGAGACAGUGGCCAUAGGGAUACUAUGUUAACUGCAGAUGCGGCUGUAGGAGCACUUUGCUAACUUCCAACGUGAGUUCAGACUCUUCAGGCUAUUUGGCACCCAGAUCUAUGGUGAGGUGUGACAUAUGGGAUGUAAAGUUUGACGCCUGCUCCGACUCCAGUCUUGCUAACACACACGAAACCUUUGGCAAAUCAUGACCCUGCCUUGGGGAAAAGGGCAGUCUGGGAGAGCUUCUUCAAGGCAGCCUGGCUUCAAUGCAGUCCGGGGCAUGACUGAGGUAGGCAUACGUGGUGAGGAACUGGAGGGUAACUGGGUAAAGAGCUGCAGUGUGGGCAGAGGUGUAGUGUGGGUCACAUCGCGGAUAGCCACUGGCCAAAGCAGGGAACAGAGACAGAAUGAGGA